GCUAAUUACCUCCUUGCCUGCCCUGCCCCCAGAAGUCAGCUGCCCACAGCAGAAAUGAAACACAUGGUGGUUGCCCCUCGUUAGCAGAUGAAAGGCCAGGCUCGGCCCCAUGGCCACCUGCAUCAGUGCCACCUGCAUCAGCAGUUGGUAGUGCCCCCAGAAAGCACUCCCAGAUCACUGCAUGUACGUCAAAACUCCAGCUGACAAUAAUGCCAACCACAAGCAUAACAUCUGGAGAGUGGUGGCCUCGGAAAGUAGAAAAUGUCAGCGCCUAACACCUGCUGAGAAAUGAGACCGUGAGCAGGUUUCACUCGUCAGCUCGCUCAUCUUGGAGGCAUUGUACUCUGUGCUGCAGCAAGUAAGAGAAGGAAGAACCGCGUCAUGACAAGGCUGAAUACGUGUAAUGCACUCAGGCAGCAACGGAAGGCAAUAAUUCACGCUGGAGCAGGACUAGCUGAGGAUGGGCUUUACAAGAACUGAGAAACGUCGAUGUUCCUGCUGAUAACAGGGCAGAGGGGCACCCAACUAAUGUGACAUGCAGAGGUAGGAUGUUACAGCACAGCACCCACCCUUGUCCACAAGGGAUGACGGAAUCCAUGGCCCUGGGUCAGGAGCUCUCCCUGCUGCCUUCCCCUGCCACCCACCAGGAGCGCACAGACCAAGGCUGAGGCCACUGGCAAAGUGCAGGUGCUGCCAUGCAGCCUGGGACAGUCCUGGCACACUGUGGCAGUGGGGAAGGCACCCACGGCAGCUGUGAUCUCACAGACUUCCCACAUUGCUCAGGCCACGGGUGCUCUGUGCAGCCACAUCGAGUCUCGACAAGCCUUGGCAAAGGAUGAUGCAGGUGCUACGGCCUUGCCACACUCUGCCCUUGUGGGAGCAAUAUUUGGCCCUUACCAGCACUGGACUUCACCAAAGCAAGCCACUGCCCGCUCUGUUCAGAGCAAGUUCCAGUUCAUCGCAGCAGGCUCUGACUCUGUGCUCUGAUUGCUGUCUGGGUUAAGGAAGAGGAAACCAGUCAAGUCUCUGUGGGGCUCUGAGAUCGCUCCACUUUGUGCUUGCCCGCUGUCCGUGUAGGCACCUCCAGCACUCGGCUCCUGCACCCUCCCCUGCAGGCAGCUGGGCUGGAGCCGGUGUGGGAGAAGCUCCCAGGCAGCUCCGUGAAUGCGGCUUCUCAGAUGUUAUCUACGACCAGGACAGCCAACCCUGCAGGACCAGGUGUGCAGAAAGCAGGCUGGAGGUGAGACACGCUGCUGCCAAGCUGGAGGGAGAGCAGUGCCCAGCGUGGAGCCCCCAGACUGCUCAGAAAAUGCUCGUGGUACCUUCACAAAUGGGAAGGAACUGGGCUGGCUCUGUCUGGGGCACAAGGGUCGUGGCCCCAGCACGACCUUCACCUGGUCUCCCCUUUCCAGCUCUAGGCUGGGGGAGGAGAAGCACUGUCCGUGCAGCGUGCAGUCUACCCGGAGGUUUCUAGCUGAGAGCCUGCUGGCAGCAGUGUCAGGGUGUGCUGAGGGGCCCCCAGAAUGGGUAAGCUUGACAUUUUCUAACCACCACUCUUACACAAUGUCUGAAGGCAUAACCUCAGAGCGCUGCAGACCUCAGCAGCCUAAGGCCAUCGGAGAGGACGUGAUGGAGCCGUACAGACGCAACCCAUGUAUUAACUUAAACCCAUCACGUACUAAAGACACAGCACCCGCCUGGAGCACUCAAGGUAUUAAACAACGUGGCAGCCUGAAGUUAUGUUACGGGUCCCCUCAAAAAUGGCCCUUCAUGACAGUAGGCAGCAUUUCUGUGCCUGCUGCACCACAUCAAGGAGGGGCUGCUGAAACCCCAUGCGGGCAGCUGCAAGCUGCAGAAUUGUUUCUUGGAGCGGUGAAUGGCUGGAUGCCUUCUCGCCCCCACACAGCCCACAGGAGCUCACCUCUUGCACCAACAGCUUUCUGCUGCUCACCGUGCACCCACUCGCUUGCGUUAUCUGGCGUGCAGUGUUGCCUGUCCGUGUUCUAAUGCACUAUCAAAGGCAUCAGGGAGAUGUUUUUAUUCUUACUGUUGGGGUGAGUGGAAAAGGGUUGGGACAUUUUUGUGCUGUGAAUAAAGGAGAGGGGGGUCACCAACUCGACAAGGUUGAGAAACCUGGCAGAACAAGUGUCAAAGCAGGUGGGGCGAGCUGCACCCAGAGGCAGAACACAGUCCCAGCCCAAGGAUUCAGGUCUGGCCCAGCUCUCUGAAUGGAGCUUGGGACCCUCCCUGUCUCCACUUUGCUGACAAAGCGGGACAAGGGAGGCAGUUCCUGAAGCAAAGAAAGUUUGAAUUCCUCCAGCCCAUUACCUCAUGGCAGUAAAUCUUCCACCUCUCUUUCCCAGUCACUGGUGAAGCCUGCCUAUUGUCUAGGGAGCCCGGCUGUCUGCCCCAGCACAAAAGGGAGAACAAUCAGUGGGCUUGAGAAACACAGGAUGUACUAAAAGACGGGAGAAUAAAGCAGAGAAAGGGCCAAGGAGAGCUGGGUGGGGAGGAGAUCCCCAAGAGGCAACUCCAGCUGUGGGUGUCUGGCUUCAGGAGGCAUCCAGCCUUGCCUGCCUCGUGCAGGUGUUACUCAGGCUGGAUCCUGGUCGGCGUAAUGCUGGGGAGGGCUGGGGAGGGCUGGGGGCUCCCUGCGUGGAGGUUUUCAGAGGUGGGGAUGCUGUGCCCGCUGCCUCCUGUGGUUCAGACUCCUGUGCCUGGUUUGAGUUGUGCUGCCCUUCGACACAGAAGGUGGAGGUGU